UACAGAGGGGGCAAGCGUUAUUCGGAAUCACUGGGCUUAAAGGGCUCGUAGGCGGCCAACUAAGUCGGACGUGAAAUCCCCAGGCUCAACCUGGGAACUGCGUCCGAUACUGGAUGGCUUGAAUCCGGGAGAGGGAUGCAGAAUUCCAGGUGUAGCGGUGAAAUGCGUAGAUAUCUGGAGGAAUACCGGUGGCGAAGGCGGCAUCCUGGACCGGCAUUGACGCUGAGGAGCGAAAGCCAGGGGAGCAAACGGG
rnacentral:rRNA from 1 species